rnacentral:rRNA from 1 species
GCAAGCGUUGUCCGGAAUCAUUGGGCGUAAAGCGCGCGUAGGUGGUCAUGUAAGUCCGCUGUGAAAGUCAAAGGCUCAACCUUUGAAAGCCGGUGGAUACUGCAUGACUAGAGUACGGAAGAGGCGAGUGGAAUUCCUGGUGUAGCGGUGAAAUGCGCAGAUAUCAGGAGGAACACCGGUGGCGAAGGCGGGUCUCUGGGCCGAUAUCGACGCUGAGGAGCGAAAGCGUGGGGAGCGAACAGG